rnacentral:rRNA from 1 species
GAUGAACGCUGGCGGCGUGCCUAAUACAUGCAAGUCGAGCGAACGGACGAGACGCUUGCUUUUCUGAUGUUAGCGGCGGACGGGUGAGUAACACGUGGAUAACCUACCUAUAAGACUGGGAUAACUUCGGGAAACCGGAUCUAAUACCGGAUAAUAUUUUGAACCGCAUGGUUCAACAGUGAAAGACGGUCUUGCUGUCACUUAUAGAUGGAUCCUCGCUGCAUUAGCUAGUUGGUAAGGUAACGGCUUACCAAGGCAACGAUGCAUAGCCGACCUGAGAGGGUGAUCGGCCACACUGGAACUGAGACACGGGCCAGACUCCUACGGGAGGCAGAAGAAGGGAAUCUUCCGCAAUGGGCGAAAGCCUGACGGAGAAACGCCGCGUGAGUGAUGAAGGUCUUCGGAUCGUAAAACUCUGUUAUUAGGGAAGAACAUAUGUGUAAGUAACUGUGCACAUCUUGACGGUACCUAAUCAGAAAGCCACGGCUAACUACGUG